rnacentral:rRNA from 1 species
UUGGCUUCCAUAGCGGAGGAAAAGAAACCAACCCGGGAUUGCCUUAGUAACGGCGAGUGAAGCGGCAAAAGCUCAAAUUUGAAAUCUAGUACCUUCGGUGCUCGAGUUGUAAUUUGUAGAAGGUAUCUUGGAAUGGUGGCUGGCCUAUGUUCCUUGGAAAAGGACGUCAUAGAGGGUGAGAACCCCGUAUGGCUGGGCGUGCUGUUCCUUGUAAGAUUCCUUCGACGAGUCGAGUUGUUUGGGAAUGCAGCUCUAAGUGGGUGGUAAAUUCCAUCUAAAGCUAAAUAUUGGCGAGAGACCGAUAGCGAACAAGUACAGUGAUGGAAAGAUGAAAAGAACUUUGAAAAGAGAGUGAAAAAGUACGUGAAAUUGUUGAAAGGGAAGGGCAUUUGAUCAGACAUGGUGUUUUGCGCCCUCUGUUCCUUGUGGAUAGGGGAAUCUCGCAGCUCACUGGGCCAACAUCAGUUUUGGCGGCCGGAUAAAACCAUAGGAACGUAGCUUACUUCGGUAAGUGUUAUAGCCUGUGGGCCUACGGCCAGCUGGGACUGAGGACUGCGACUUUGUCAAGGAUGUUGGCAUAAUGGUUAAAUGCCGCCCGUCUUGAACCGGACAA